rnacentral:rRNA from 1 species
UACGAAGGGGGCUAGCGUUGCUCGGAAUGACUGGGCGUAAAGGGCGCGUAGGCGGCUUGUAUAGUCGGAUGUGAAAUUCCUGGGCUCAACCUGGGGGCUGCGCUUGAGACGUGUGGGCUUGAGGACAGGAGAGGCUCGUGGAAUUCCCAGUGUAGAGGUGAAAUUCGUAGAUAUUGGGAAGAACACCGGUGGCGAAGGUGGCGAGCUGGCCUGUAACUGACGCUGAGGCGCGACAGCGUGGGGAGCAAACAGG